rnacentral:rRNA from 1 species
GAUGAACGCUGGCGGCGUGCCUAAUACAUGCAAGUCGAGCGAACAGACUAGGAGCUUGCUCCUCUGACGUUAGCGGCGGACGGGGUAGUAACACGUGGAUAACCUACCUAUAAGACUGGGAUAACUUCGGGAAACCGGAGCUAAUACCGCAUAAUAUAUUGAACCGCAUGGUUCAAUAGUGAAAGACGUUUUUGCUGUAACUUAUAGAUGGAUCCGCGCCGCAUUAGCUAGAUGGUAAGGUAACGGCUUACAAAUGCAACGAUGCGUAGCCGACCUGAGAGGGUGAUCGGCCACACUGGAACUGAGAAACGGUCCAGACUCCUACGGGAGGCAGAAGUAGGGAAUCUUCCGCAAUGGGCGAAAGCCUGAAGGAGCAACGCCGCGUGAGUGCUGAAGGUCUUCGGAUCGUAAAACUCUGUUAUUAGGGAAGAACAAAUGUGUAAGUAACUAUGAACGUCUUGACGGUACCUAAUCAGAAAGCAACGGCUAACUACGUG